rnacentral:rRNA from 1 species
UACGAAGGGUGCAAGCGUUACUCGGAAUUACUGGGCGUAAAGCGUGCGCAGGCGGUUUUGUAAGCCAGAUGUGAAAUCCCCGGGCUUAACCUGGGAAUGGCAUUUGGGACUGCAAGGCUUGAGUGCGGCAGAGGAGACUGGAAUUCAUGGUGUAAGCAGUGAAAUGCGUAGAUAAUCAUGAGGAAUACCAGAGGCGAAGGCGGCUACCUGGACAAUUGCUGACGCUCAGGCACGAAAGCGUGGGGAGCAAAAGGG